GGUUAAGCGACUAAGCGUACACGGUGGAUGCCCUGGCAGUCAGAGGCGAUGAAGGACGUGCUAAUCUGCGAUAAGCGUCGGUAAGGUGAUAUGAACCGUUAUAACCGGCGAUUUCCGAAUGGGGAAACCCAGUGUGUUUCGACACACUAUCAUUAACUGAAUCCAUAGGUUAAUGAGGCGAACCGGGGGAACUGAAACAUCUAAGUACCCCGAGGAAAAGAAAUCAACC
rnacentral:rRNA from 1 species